CUUUCAGUGUGAUAACUUGGAGUUCAUAUUGUUGGGGGAGAUAAGCAGCGGGAGCAGGUGCUUCUUGAAUUCACUUAUCAGCGCUCCGGCUGCCCAGGCGCUCUGAUGCUGCGGGCGCGUCUCGGAGUGAGGCUUCUUGGGCCCCCAGGGCCACCGUUUCAUCUGCCGACCUCGCAGGGGUGAAGGCUCUCUUCUAGUCUGCGUUCAUCUUGCUGUAUCCUCACAUGGCUACACGAAGAUGCUGUAGGAUCAGGCAGAUUCCUGGAGGCGGCAGCAGGAUCUUCCCAUUCCUCUCAUGACCUGCCUGGGAACCACUGGCCGGGGCUGGCUGGGCACAGGGUCGGCACCGGGUCUACACAGAGUCUGACCAGGAGGCGGGAGGAGGGCCCAGGCCUCUGUGGGGACCAGCACUCCCCGCCGAGGAGAGCCGCGGCCUCCCCCGGGCCCUGAAGCUCCCUUCUCCCUCCUUUCUAGAACAUCUAGCUUGGGGUGGUUCAGACUGAUAGCUUUUAAAUUGUUUAAGCUCAUUUUUGAAAUAGCCCCCCCUUUGCUUUGCUGUACAUCCUCAACAGCGGUGGACACUGCAGUGUUUAAUAGUCAACUAAGGCCACUGCUCCUCUCCUGCCUCUUGUGGCCAUGCCUUUCUCUGCAGAUGUUAUUCCUGCUUCAGAGAAACUGAGGCAGAGGCUGAAGGCACACGAGUGCGAGCUCCCUGCCCCUCCUGCCUCUUUGUGCCCCAAGUUAAUGUUCAAAAGGCAUAAAGUCGCCAAAUCACUCGGAGAAGCUAAAACUGCUCCCUGUGACAAUGGUUUGCUAGUCAAUUCACCCAGAAAACAACACAAAUCGUGUCAACUCAGAGGUUCAGAUCUUCAUGUUCAUGUCAAGACCAGUGAAACCACCCAGCCCGUCAAGGGAAAGUGGACCCGAAACCCGCCCAGCCUGGGAACGGCAUCCCUGUGCUCAGCCUGGGUCACACUCUGCGGCGGGGCUCGCCUGACAAA
ensembl:lncRNA